GUGACUGCGUACCUUUUGUAUAAUGGGUCAGCGACUUAUAUUCUGUAGCAAGGUUAACCGAAUAGGGGAGCCGGAGGGAAACCGAGUCUUAACCGGGCGUUAAGUUGCAGGGUAUAGACCCGAAACCCGGUGAUCUAGCCAUGGGCAGGUUGAAGGUUGGGUAACACUAACUGGAGGACCGAACCGACUAAUGUUGAAAAAUUAGCGGAUGACCUGUGGCUGGGGGUGAAAGGCCAAUCAAACCGGGAGAUAGCUGGUUCUCCCCGAAAGCUAUUUAGGUAGCGCCUCGUGAAUUCAUCUCCGGGGGUAGAGCACUGUUUCGGCUAGGGGGCCAUCCCGGCUUACCAACCCGAUGCAAACUGCGAAUACCGGAGAAUGUUAUCACGGGAGACACACGGCGGGUGCUAACGUCCGUCGUGAAGAGGGAAACAACCCAGACCGCCAGCUAAGGUCCCAAAGUCAUGGUUAAGUGGGAAACGAUGUGGGAAGGCCCAGACAGCCAGGAUGUUGGCUUAGAAGCAGCCAUCAUUUAAAGAAAGCGUAAUAGCUCACUGGUCGAGUCGGCCUGCGCGGAAGAUGUAACGGGGCUAAACCAUGCACCGAAGCUGCGGCAGCGACGCUUAUGCGUUGUUGGGUAGGGGAGCGUUCUGUAAGCCUGUGAAGGUGGCCUGUGAGGGUUGCUGGAGGUAUCAGAAGUGCGAAUGCUGACAUAAGUAACGAUNACGUAUCACCCAAGACAACUUUACGGAGUUGACGAUUGACGGAGCGAAGCGACGUCAAAGCGUUCAUUAAAGUCGAGUUGGCUUAGGGAUACGUUCGUUGGGUAGGGGAGCGUUCUGUAAGCCUGCGAAGGUGGCCUGUGAGGGUUGCUGGAGGUAUCAGAAGUGCGAAUGCUGACAUNCGCUUAUGCGUUGUUGGGUAGGGGAGCGUUCUGUAAGCCUGUGAAGGUGGCCUGUGAGGGUUGCUGGAGGUAUCAGAAGUGCGAAUGCUGACAUAAGUAACGAUAAAGCGGGUGAAAAGCCCGCUCGCCGGAAGACCAAGGGUUCCUGUCCAACGUUAAUCGGGGCAGGGUGAGUCGACCCCUAAGGCGAGGCCGAAAGGCGUAGUCGAUGGGAAACGGGUUAAUAUUCCCGUACUUGGUGUUACUGCGAAGGGGGGACGGAGAAGGCUAUGUUGGCCGGGCGACGGUUGUCCCGGUUUAAGCGUGUAGGUGUGUGUUCCAGGUAAAUCCGGUUCACUUUAACACUGAGGCGUGACGACGAGGCACUACGGUGCUGAAGCAACAAAUGCCCUGCUUCCAGGAAAAGCCUCUAAGCAUCAGGUAACAUCAAAUCGUACCCCAAACCGACACAGGUGGUCAGGUAGAGAAUACCAAGGCGCUUGAGAGAACUCGGGUGAAGGAACUAGGCAAAAUGGUGCCGUAACUUCGGGAGAAGGCACGCUGACAUGUAGGUGAAGCGGUUUACCCGUGGAGCUGAAAUCAGUCGAAGAUACCAGCUGGCUGCAACUGUUUAUUAAAAACACAGCACUGUGCAAACACGAAAGUGGACGUAUACGGUGUGACGCCUGCCCGGUGCCGGAAGGUUAAUUGAUGGGGUCAGCGCAAGCGAAGCUCCUGAUCGAAGCCCCGGUAAACGGCGGCCGUAACUAUAACGGUCCUAAGGUAGCGAAAUUCCUUGUNGACGCCUGCCCGGUGCCGGAAGGUUAAUUGAUGGGGUCAGCGCAAGCGAAGCUCCUGAUCGAAGCCCCGGUAAACGGCGGCCGUAACUAUAACGGUCCUAAGGUAGCGAAAUUCCUUGUCGGGUAAGUUCCGACCUGCACGAAUGGCGUAAUGAUGGCCAGGCUGUCUCCACCCGAGACUCAGUGAAAUUGAACUCGCUGUGAAGAUGCAGUGUACCCGCGGCAAGACGGAAAGACCCCGUGAACCUUUACUAUAGCUUGACACUGAACAUUGAGCCUUGAUGUGUAGGAUAGGUGGGAGGCUUUGAAGCGUGGACGCCAGUCUGCGUGGAGCCGACCUUGAAAUACCACCCUUUAAUGUUUGAUGUUCUAACGUGGACCCGU
rnacentral:rRNA from 1 species